AGACAUCUUUAAUUAGCAAUAUGUUUAAGUAGUUACAAGCCUUUCCUUCUUUUCUUGUGACAGUUUGGGUUGAAUUUCUAUCGUUUGCAGCCUGUCACUGUAAGGCACAAACAUGAUCACGCAAGAUGCGAUAGUAGAUUUAAGCCAGUUGUUUUUAAGUUUGUGUUUAAGGAGAAACUAACAAUGAAAACGGCCUCGUUGACGGAGGAAAAGUUGGAAUGCAGCCUCUGGUGCUGUUUGAGCGAUCCCUCUCCCCGGGGCCUGGCCGCGCGCUGCUGUGUUCUGGAAGGGCUCAUUGUACAGUCAAGGCGGCAGGGCCUUCUUCUGUCACCCAUGCUGGAGUGCAGUAGCAUGAUCACAGCUCACGGUAGCCUCCACCUUCUGGGCUCAAUCCUCCUACCUCAGCCUUCCAAGUAGCUGGGACUACAGUCUUGAGGAUCCAUUUUCUGAGACGGUGAUGGGAAAGAUGUUGGUUGUCAAGUGGAAUCUCAGCAGUCAUUUUCAGACAAAGUUAGAGAAAACAAGUAUGGAAGAUGCCUGAUUCUCAAAGAGUCAUCCAGUCUUGGGAUUACCGCCUACGUC
rnacentral:lncRNA from 10 species